rnacentral:rRNA from 1 species
UACAGAGGGUGCGAGCGUUAUUCGGAAUUACUGGGCGUAAAGCGCGCGUAGGCGGCUUUUCAAGUCGGUUGUGAAAUCCCCGGGCUUAACCUGGGAACUGCAGUCGAGACUGUCUAGCUAGAGUAUGGGAGAGGGAAGUGGAAUUUCAGGUGUAGCGGUGAAAUGCGUAGAUAUCUGAAGGAACAUCAGUGGCGAAAGCGACUUCCUGGACCAAUACUGACGCUCAUGUGCGAAAGCGUGGGGAGCAAACAGG